rnacentral:rRNA from 1 species
UGGGGAAUAUUGGACAAUGGGCGAAAGCCUGAUCCAGCAAUGCCGCGUGGGUGAAGAAGGUCUUCGGAUUGUAAAGCCCUUUCGGCGGGGACGAUGAUGACGGUACCCGCAGAAGAAGCUCCGGCUAACUUCGUGCCAGCAGCCGCGGUAAUACGAAGGGGGCUAGCGUUGCUCGGAAUGACUGGGCGUAAAGGGCGCGUAGGCGGUUCGUACAGUCAGAUGUGAAAUUCCUGGGCUUAACCUGGGGGCUGCAUUUGAUACGUGCGGGCUUGAGUGGGGAAGAGGGUUGUGGAAUUCCCAGUGUAGAGGUGAAAUUCGUAGAUAUUGGGAAGAACACCGGUGGCGAAGGCGGCAACCUGGUCCUUGACUGACGCUGAGGCGCGAAAGCGUGGGGAGCAAAC